rnacentral:rRNA from 1 species
UACGUAGGGGGCAAGCGUUGUUCGGAAUUACUGGGCGUAAAGGGCGCGUAGGCGGCACAGCAAGUCGGGAGUGAAAGCCCGGGGCUCAACCCCGGAAUGGCUUUCGAAACUGCUGAGCUAGAGUACAGAAGGGGCAACCGGAAUUCCCAGUGUAGCGGUGAAAUGCGUAGAUAUUGGGAAGAACACCUGAGGCGAAGGCGGGUUGCUAGGCUGACACUGACGCUGAGUGCGCGAAAGCCAGGGGAGCAAACGGG